rnacentral:lncRNA from 1 species
GUACUUUUGUCCAUUCUCUUAUACCGAUAAUUCAGGAAUGUUUAUUUUAUAGCCCAAAUGCAGUCCCUUUGGCAAGUGAAGUUGCAGGGAUAGCAUCUCUUUUGUUGACAUAAACCAUGGGAACUUCAGUUGCAUGAUCUCAUUAUCUGAUUACAGCUGUGACUUUGAAGUAAUCUCUCAGAAUGAGCACUUUUGGAAGAGUUGCUCACAGGCCAAGCCCAGGGUUGUAGAAGAGGAUUUGCAAAGGGCAUCCUCAUGCUACAGGAAAGAUGGCUGAAAGUGUUCUUCAUUCCCCAGCAAGGGGAAAGCCUGAUGGCCAGAAGGAACAGGGGAACAGUACAUGGCACAAAGCAGCAGGUUGCAGAUAUCUUAACUAGGAGUGCUCCCAUGACGACAUAAUCAAGAUUAUACAUGUCAAGAUUUCAAGGAACAGAACUGGCAAACAUUUAAGGCUAAAAAUGUCACACAGAAAAAAUACGGUACGUACCAACAGAACUUCGUCAUUGUUGAGCCCUAGGUUUGACAAUCAUUAAUUUGCUAUUAAUAAGUCUUACUGUUAGGGGGACGCACUUCACCAGCUGCAGGAAGAGUUUGUUCUUUAGACAACCAUUGCUUUAAGCGGUCUGUCAAAUUGAUUCUGACAUUCAAGGUAAGAAAGAGAUGUAAUUAAAUCUUUUCAAUAGACUGGCUGAGCACUCAUCUGCUGCCACUGAUAGAUACCAUUUGGGAGUUGCUGCGAUUUCUUUACCUUCUCCCUUAAUACAUUUUUUAAAAUGAUCUUUAAUGCUUUAAAUACCUACCAACCCACAGUAGUAUCGGUGGUACUUGGUAAUGUUAAGCCAUUUCCCAGUUAGAUGAAUAAAUACCAGAGGUUUUAAUUUCA